rnacentral:rRNA from 1 species
CAGCGCCACGAGUGGCAAUCACGUUUAUUGGGCCUAAAGCGUCCGUAGCCGGUUUAGCAAAUCUUUUGUGAAAUCGUCAGGCUUAACUUGACGAAUUGCAGAAGACACUACUAAACUAGGGACUGGGAGGAGUCAGAAGUAUUCUGGGGGGACCGGUAAAAUGGUAUAAUCCCCAGAGGACUACCGAUGGCGAAGGCAUCUGACCAGAACAGAUCCGACGGUGAGGGACGAAAGCCAGGGGAGCAAACCGGAUUAGAUACCCGAGUAGUCC